rnacentral:rRNA from 1 species
UGCGUAGGCGGGGUAAUAAGUCAGUGGUGAAAGUCUGCAGCUUAACUGUAGAAUUGCCAUUGAUACUGUUAUCCUUGAGUAUAGUUGAGGUGGGCGGAAUGUGUCAUGUAGCGGUGAAAUGCUUAGAUAUGACACAGAACACCGAUUGCGUAGGCAGCUCACUAAACUAUUACUGACGCUGAGGCACGAAAGCGUGGGGAGCGAACAGGAUUAGAUACCCUGGUAGUCC